CCCAUUAUUAGAUAUAUGUGGGAAAAGAAUUAGGUAAUAGCACUUUAAGACAAGAGAUGCAGGUUCCUGGCUCAUCUUGUACAUCACUGUGUGUCCACAAGUCUGUGAACUUGACCAUGGAUACCCACCUCUUUAAACCAGGAGACGCAGUAUGGGUUAGAGAAUUGAAGUAGCCUGAAAUAGCUCUGGAAAUUUCUGCUCACUGUUGCCUUAUCCAUUUUUACUGUAUAAAGGUGGCCGGGGUGAUUACAUAGUUAUAUCAUGGUACAGUAAACACAGCUUAUGGAAAGUAUUUAUAUGUUCCUGACCUAUUAACACUGUGUCAUCUCACUCUACAGAGAGGCCAAUUGGAUAUUUCAAAGGAUCUGAUGAACCAGAAGAUGACAAUACCCAAGGAUUACAUCUUUGUCCAAGUUACUCGAGAAGUUGACCAGUCUUCACACAGCAGAUGCUUAAAGAGUCACCACGUCAACCACCAGGUAUGGCACAUACUCAUGCCAUAUGGCAAGCUGUGAUGGGUGUGUUGGUGAACAGUUUAUACUCUGCUUUUCCCAAGCUGGG
rnacentral:lncRNA from 1 species